GAGACACGGACCAGACUCAUACGGGAGGCAGCAGUGAGGGAUAUUGGUCAAUGGGCGCAAGCCUGAACCAGCCAUGCCGCGUGCAGGAUGACGGUCCUAUGGAUUGUAAACCGCUUUUGUACGAGAAGAAACAACAUUACGUGUAAUGUCUUGACGGUAUCGUAAGAAUAAGGAUCGGCUAACUCCGUGCCAGCAGCCGCGGUAAUACGGAGGAUCCAAGCGUUAUCCGGAAUCAUUGGGUUUAAAGGGUCCGUAGGCGGUUUAGUAAGUCAGUGGUGAAAGCCCAUCGCUCAACGGUGGAACGGCCAUUGAUACUGCUAGACUUGAAUUAUUAGGAAGUAACUAGAAUAUGUAGUGUAGCGGUGAAAUGCUUAGAGAUUACAUGGAAUACCAAUUGCGAAGGCAGGUUACUACUAAUGGAUUGACGCUGAUGGACGAAAGCGUGGGUAGCGAACAGGAUUAGAUACCCUGGUAGUCCACGCCGUAAACGAUGGAUACUAGCUGUUGGGAGCAAUUUCAGUGGCUAAGCGAAAGUGAUAAGUAUCCCACCUGGGGAGUAC
rnacentral:rRNA from 1 species